rnacentral:tRNA from 1 species
AAAAGCUUAGGUUAAAACUAAACCAGGGGCCUUCAAAGCCCCAAAUAAGGACUAACCCCCUUAGCUUUUG